UACAGAGGGUGCGAGCGUUAAUCGGAAUUACUGGGCGUAAAGCGCACGUAGGUGGCGACGUAAGUCGGGUGUGAAAGCCCCGGGCUCAACCUGGGAACUGCAUUCGAGACUGCAUUGCUGGAGUACGGAAGAGGAGGGCGGAAUUCCCGGUGUAGCGGUGAAAUGCGUAGAUAUCGAGAGGAACAUCGGUGGCGAAGGCGGCCUUCUGGACAGCGACUGACGCUGAGACGCGAAAGCGUGGGGAGCAAACACG
rnacentral:rRNA from 1 species